GCUAGCGUAGCUUAAUACAAAGCAUAACACUGAAGAUGUUAACAUGGGCCCUGAGAAGCUCCGCAUGCA
rnacentral:tRNA from 1 species